rnacentral:rRNA from 1 species
GAUGAACGCUGGCGGCGUGCCUAAUACAUGCAAGUCGAGCGAACAGACGAGGAGCUUGCUCCUCUGACGUUAGCGGCGGACGGGUGAGUAACACGUGGAUAACCUACCUAUAAGACUGGGAUAACUUCGGGAAACCGGAGCUAAUACCGGAUAAUAUAUUGAACCGCAUGGUUCAAUAGUGAAAGACGGUUUUGCUGUCACUUAUAGAUGGAUCCGCGCCGCAUUAGCUAGUUGGUAAGGUAACGGCUUACCAAGGCGACGAUGCGUAGCCGACCUGAGAGGGUGAUCCGCCACACUGGAACUGAGACACGGUCCCGAAUCCUAAGGGAGGCAGCAGUAGGGAAUCUUUCGGAAUGGGCGAAAGCCUGACGGAGCAAAGCCGCGUGAGUGAUGAAGGUCUUCGGAUUGUAAAACUCUGUUAUUAGGGAAGAAAAAAUGUGUAAGUAACUAUGCACGUCUUGACGGUAACUAAUGAAAAAGCCACGGCUAACUACGUG